ensembl:lncRNA
CUCUAGGGUACGGGAGGAGGCUUUGGUGCCAAAUGAAGGCGAAAGAAUUGCCCUAGUUAAUGGGCUGCUCCAAAACUAGAGAAUUUCACCUGAACUCGUGGAUUGAACACUGGAAAAGAAGGCAGAUUCAUGUAAAGUCAUCAAGCUCGUGGACUUCAACCUUUCCAACAAUGUAUUUACAAACCUUCCAAAAGAGAGCCUAGCAUGGCUGCCCUCUGAGAGACCCAACAAGCAGCUGAAAGAGUCAGAUGUGUAUACUUACAGUCAACCAAUGGACACGAGCUGAGGGCUCCUGUGGUUAAAUUAUGGAAAAGCUGGAAGAAACUGAGGAGGAGGGCGACCCCAUGAGAAGACCAGCUGUCUCAACUAACCUGGCCCCCUGAGAUCUCUCACACACUGAGCCACCAACCAGGCAGCAUACACCAGCUGAAAUGAGACCCCCAAAACAUAUAGAGCAGAGGACUGCCUGGUCUGGCCCCAGUGAAAGAAGAAGCACCUUACUCUGGAAGGACCUGAGGCUCCAAUCAUUGUCUCACACAGAUAAUGUGGCAGAAGAAGUUCUGGAUUUAGAAGCUAUCUUCCAGCUUCCUCACUGACUGUGCCCUCCCUGAAGUAUAAAAGAAGAUAAACAGCAAACUGUCUUCCGAAGCCUGAAAUGUUUAAAUCUUGUAUUGAUUGGCUAGAUAAUUCAUGGGGAGCCUCUUUUCUCAGCCUGUGAAGUCUGAAACAGAUUUUAUCACUACAAACCAUUAAAGCUCACCCUUAGCAGGUGGAUUGUGCACAUGGGUCUCUGAC